CGACACUAAACGUGUUAGGAACAGGAGGAGAACCUCAUCCUAACACGAGCCAAGUCGAAGGCUCGAUUAUUUUAAGAUCGGAUGGGGAGAGAGGCCCUUAUAACGGCCCUUAUGUGCCCCCACAGCCAUGUUAGGAAUAGGAGGAGAACCUCAUCCUAACAUGAGCAAAGUCAAAGGCUCAGUUAUUUAAAGACUGGAUGGGGGGAGAGGCCCUUACAACGGUCCUUAUGUGCCCCCAUAGCCAUGUUAGGAAUAGGAGGAGAACCUCAUCCUAACAUGAGUAAAGUCGAAGGUCC
rnacentral:lncRNA from 1 species